GUGAAAUGCUGAAUACAACAGGUGUAGUAGACCUCACAGUGAAAUGCUGAAUACAACAGGUGUAGUAGACCUCACAGUGAAAUGCUGAAUACAACAGGUGUAGUAGACCUUACAGUGAAAUGCUGAAUACAACAGGUGUAGUAGACCUUACAGUGAAAUGCUGAAUACAACAGGUAUAGUAGACCUUACAGUGAAAUGCUGAAUACAACAGGUGUAGUAGACCUUACAGUGAAAUGCUGAAUACAACAGGUGUAGUAGACCUUACAGUGAAAUGCUGAAUACAACAGGUAUAGUAGACCUUACAGUGAAAUGCUGAAUACAACAGGUGUAGUAGACCUUACAGUGAAAUGCUGAAUACAACAGGUGUAGUAGACCUUACAGUGAAAUGCUGAAUACAACAGGUAUAGUAGACCUUACAGUGAAAUGCUGAAUACAACAGGUGUAGUAGACCUUACAGUGAAAUGCUGAAUACAACAGGUGUAGUAGAC